UACAGAGGGGGCAAGCGUUGUUCGGAAUUACUGGGCGUAAAGGGCGCGUAGGCGGCCUUCUAAGUCGAACGUGAAAUCCCUGGGCUCAACCCAGGAACUGCGUCCGAUACUGAAAGGCUUGAAUCCGGGAGAGGGAUGCGGAAUUCCAGGUGUAGCGGUGAAAUGCGUAGAUAUCUGGAGGAACACCGGUGGCGAAGGCGGCAUCCUGGACCAACACUGACACUGAGGAGCGAAAGCCAGGGGAGCAAACGGG
rnacentral:rRNA from 1 species